UACAAAUAUGUAGAAGAAAGCAGUAGGAAUCAAAAUCAGCUAGACUUUGUGAAGCGUUCGGCUUUCUCUCUUUCCUCUCUCUUGCGAUUAACUCGCCACCACUAAAACAACCAAAAUAAAACCGUUAACCACCGUAAUAUAGCCAGUAGCCACCGUUUUACGACGGUGAUGGUCACCGGAAACCACCAUUAAAAUUCUUUCAUAACCAAAAAUCAAGAUCCGAAUGCCCCUAACAGUGUUUUCUCAUCAGAUUCAAAGACCCUUUGUUAAAUUUUGCUACUAAGCCACUUUGUUUCACCUGUUACUAAGACACCGUGUUAUCAAGAUACAAUCUCUAAGACACUUUGGUUACCAAUUGCUACUAAGACUCCUUGCUAUUGCCAUCCUUGGUUCGAAGACCCCUUGAUUAAUUCGGAGUUUCAAUGAUCUUUUUUCAUAUCUAAAGUCACCGGAAUCCCCCCUUUUUCCCAUCUUAUCUGCUACUCUCUUUGUCUUAUUUUUUGUCUUUUAUUUUUGGAUUCUGCUACUGCAAUUUUUACUUAUUUAAAAUUGAAUAUAUUGAUUUUGGACUUUGAUUCCUCUAGAAUUAAUUCUAAUUUAAUUUAGAUUGCUUACUGUUUAAGUUAAAUUUUCGUUUUUUUUAAACCUAAAUUCUGUAGUGGUUCUUUACCUUAGCUGAUCCUUCCUUAGGCUGUCCUCUCUUUAUCUUGUUGCCUUUAUUUGAUUGGUUUCAAUUUAUAUCUUGCCCUGUUAGCUAUUUUCUUUUGAUCUCCUCUUAGUUAAUCCAUGAAGUUUGUUAAAUUCUGCAAAAGGAAAUUAAAAUCUCUUUCAAGUCUAAUGCACCCGAUUCCAGGUACCUCUCGCUACAACUAGAAAAAAAAAAAGGAAACUAUUGCAAAAACCAGGGAGGAUUCAAAGAAGUUCUCAAAUCACUCCGCUGUGUACUGAUAAGGUAAUAGAUCCAGCCCCCAGUUGCUUUUCUUCAGUUCACCAAGCUGGUGAUUUGGAUCAUUGUCUUGCCUUGAAAGGCUUCUCAUGCUUUACUGAGUCAGAGAAGCAAGAGGUUUCUUUAUUGAUAGUACAUCAAUAGAAGAACUAGAAAAAGCUGGAGCAGAAGCUGCUUUCCAAUGGGUAACAUGUUGGAGUGGCCACAGAAUCUCCUUCAGAAGUGAUUCAGAACCAACUCUGAUGCUGCUGGUGGGAAUGUACGCAGAAGCUCGACGACAGCGUUACCUGAUCAGCGAAGAUUUUGGAAAUACCAAAAACUUUGAUAUAAACUUUUUAGCCCAAGAUUUUACUUUGGUUAUAAGAAAUGAUGUAAUAUGGGCAGCAAGCCUUUCUUCUUUUUGCAAAAAGUAUGAAAUUAACCACAACUGGGUGGACUUUAGCCUAAGGGCUUUAAUUAUCUAUUUGAACAUACAACCAUGGAAUGAGAAUGUAAUGAAUGCUUGUAACUCCAGUUUUGGAGUUACUGAACAGCAACAAUCAAUAUAUUGAUGUAUACCUCUUUUUUUAUAAAAAAAAAUAAUCAAAAUCA